CUUAAAAAUAAUUUUUAACCUGUCUUCUCCCCUUCAUUUAUACUGAUUGAAGUGGAUUUAAAAGGUGACAUCAAUAAGGAUCAUAGCUUUCACCUGGAGUCACCUGACCAGUCUGUCUUGGAAAGAGCAGGUUUGCUUAAUGUUUUGAACACUCAGUGUUUGCUCCUCUUUUUCCUAUCUUCUCUUAUCGGCUCCUAUUGUCUCCUAUCGACUCUUAUAUUCUCUUAAUGACUCCUAUCAACUCUUAUAUUCUCUUAAUGACUCCUAUCGACUCCUAUAUUCUCUUUACGACUCCUAUCGACUCUUAUAUUCUCUUAAUGACUCCUAUCGACUCUUAUAUUCUCUUAAUGACUCCUAUCGACUCUUAUAUUCUCUUAAUGACUCCUAUCGACUCUUAUCUUCUCUUAAUGACUCCUAUCGACUCCUACAUUCUCUUAACAACUCCUAAUCUCUCUUCUGUAUUGCAGACUCCAUUGAAAUAAAACACUAACAGAAUGUCUGUUUACCUUUUUCAUAAUGACACACACUACAGUAUACACACACAUACAGUACACUCACACACUACAGUACUGGUAAGUGCACGAGGGGCCUUUAUACGGCCUGUAUCAGUUUAUGUAGAUGACGCAAAACAUGUAAGCGGUGCGAGUGAACAUCCUUGUCCAAUCCCUCCAAUCAAGAGUGUGCUGAGACCAAAUGUGUUGCUAAACGAAUUCAACACUUCUAUCAGGUGAGAAAUCUCAAGUGCUUCAGUUACCUCAGGUGCAUCUCAAUAGUAUAAUGUGGCUUCCUCUUCGUCUCGUCUCCAUCAGCUACAUAAGAUAGAGUGGGUGAAUGCACAUGGUGGAAUCCUACCAGGGAGUUACUUUCUGCUGUUUAUGUGUUUUCUCAUCAGUGCAAAGGAAAGGAGAGGACACUGCUUUAAACUGAUGAUAUGCACCGCUGGUCUUGGGUCGCUAGCGUACCUGUAGACGUCCAGUCAUUGCACUAACGCUAGUUAGCAUUGGCCCGCGAAACUGCCUCUAACUUCCUUCAUACUGCAAGCAGACAUAAAAACGCAGAGACACAAAAUGAAUUGCCAGAAUGGUGUAGUAUCCCUUUAAAUACAACACACUCUUAACCUUCCCCAUACUGUAUGUGCUCUCACUUAUCCUGUGUGAUCUGAUUUAAGUGCACACAGGUCCUUCUGGGGAAAGAGAGUGUUACGGACGCCGUCGUCCCAGAGGCACAUUGACCCACUGCUGAACCAGUUCAAGUACAAAGGUGAGAAAGUCUCCUCUGGUUCGGCUUACUCUCAACUCCCUGAGACGAUGGAGACAGAGACAGAGAGAGCUCAAGCGCUCACAGAGACGCAGAGCAAGUACAAAGAGAGCGGGAAGAAAAAUAUCUCCCAUCCGGUCUAGCUGAUACCAUGGAUACCCAAUCUGUCAGAAAUGUGUCUGAACUGCAAAGUCAGGUGAAAAGAGCAGCAGACGAAGUACAAGAAGGCAGUGAAGAAGAAGGCAAGGUCUCUUUACUCUGUGAUAUGAAAGACUCUGGAGACCCAACAUGCCAAGCGGUCUCCCAGCUCCAGAGCCAGGCCAAGUACAAGGAGGCAGGGAAGCAGCAGUUCUCCACUCUUCUCUACUCAAAGCUUCCAGAGACUUUGGAGACUCAGCACGCCAAAGAUGCCUCCCAGCUACAGAGCGUGCCAUUACCACGAGCCCGUCUUCCCCAAUUAAGGUGCCACCAACCUGUGCACUCUAUACCACCUUACCCAGCACGCCAAAGAGGCUUCUCUCACUGAAAUACAAGCAAGGUGGCUAAAAGGAUACCUCCAGUUCUCUGUACUCCCUGCUUCAAGAAACGACAGAGAUCCAGAUAGACAAAGAGCACUGGGAUAUUUACAGUGAGGUGGCCUAUAGGAGAAAAACGAAGCAUUACAUCUACAAUGAUGUCCUGGGAAGGUUUGAUAUCGAGCAUGCUAAUGUGGAAUCCAAACUCACUAGCCAGGUGAAGUCUAAGACCAAUCAGAACCAGGUGAUUGAGGCAUCCAUGGACCUGCCCAACCUUCUGCACCUGGAGUACGCGCUACACGCUACCAAGCUGCAGAGCAACGUAAAGUACAAGAAGAAGUACGAGCGGUCUAACGGACACUACUAUAUAGCACUGGACACAACAGAACAGCAAGAGAAUGCGAUACUACACAGCCAGGAAGUGAUGUCACUGAGUAUUGCCCCUAUAUAUAGGACCUUCCACCACCUGGGAUAUGGAUGCCUGAUGACGACCUAGACGUUGAAAUGUUGUUGUAAAUAAAUAUCACCUGGGAGAAUGAGCAACAGUGUGCAGUGUUUUCCUUUCUGUUUUCCAUGAGUUUGCCUACAACUCCAGCACCUGCGGAAAGUACCAGGAUGUGAGUAUGUUCUUCAGCUUUGGCACACAGUAACAAAACGUUUUGCAACAGGGAACAAAAACAAGUAUUUCUGUCAUGAUCCUUUUGAUAUCUUGUUGUUGCCAAGCUGACCUGAGUCUGUCAGUGUACGUGUUAGUCUGUGUUUGACUCUUCCAGGCCUCCUGCAGGCAGACAGCCCUGCUGAGGGAGAACUCGUAUUGAACAGUGUCCGAGACACAUCAGAACUACUGUACGCCGCCUACCUGAAAGCUGUCUACAGUCAGUUAGGGAUAACUCUCAGUACAGCAUCCCACCACGCAUUGCACUUUAUUUUACACCACAGAAUGGGAUAUGUGCUUGGAUGGUGUGUCAAUCUCCCUCAACAUUAUGCAGAAGAAGUACAAGGAUGAGGCGGAGAAACUGAAGGGUUCGUAUGUGUUCAACACCCCUGAGAUUGAGAGAGUGAAGAACAACCAGAGAAACAUCAGCUCAGUGAGGGACACAGUACACACACACACACACACACACACACUUUUAUGCAGUAUUAUCUGUCAACACAGUUACCCUUUUGCUCUACCCCUCCAGUGUCAGUACACUUGGGACUCAAAGCUGCUGAAAAGCCUGAUGUCUUCUGUCACCGACACUCCGGAAAUCAUCUUCGCCAGGGAGAACAAAGGAAAUCAGUGACGUGAAAUACAGAGACGGGGUGGGGAGCGGGAUGGUAGUCAUGGAAACUGUUGACAUGGAGAGGGUCCGCAGAAACCAGGAGAACAUCAGCUUGGUGAAGCAUAAAAAGCAGCUCCAGGCCCCCAGUGUGGGAGUCACCCCAGAGUUGGAGAGAGUCCGUCAGAACCAGGAGAACAUCAGCUCAGCAAGUCACACAGGCUGCAUCUGAAAUGGCAACCUACAGUAUAUGUUAGCUCUGACCAAAAGUAGUACCACUACUAUGUAGUGGAAAUGGCCUAGGUGGGAGUGUGCUAGUCAGUAUGACCACCAAUUACUUUUGAGCUAUUUUAGAUUAUUGAGAUGCAACCUGACCUACUUUUGUGCAUUGCAGGUGAAGUACCAGCGCGGGCUGAAGGAGAUGAAGGGGCGGUACUGCGGCGAGUUGGACACGCCCGGACUGAGUAGUGUCAGGGAGUCACAGAACGACAUCUAACACAACUGAAGCGCACCGCAUGUGGGACUGCUGCACUUUUAACCCACACAGCUAAAGAGUUAACAGCAUGGCUGUGUCCUUGUUAUGAGGGAGCCAUAAUGAAUGUACUGUACUGUGUCUGUGAGCGUGUCUGUGUGUGCGUUACUAAUAAAGUGAUUUUUACAU